rnacentral:rRNA from 1 species
GCUCAGAACGAACGUUGGCGGCGUGCUUAACACAUGCAAGUCGAGGGAGAAGCCGAACUUCGGUUCGGUGGAGACCGGCGCACGGGUGAGUAGCACGUGGAUCAUCUACCUUCGGGUCUGGGAUAACAUUCCGAAAGGGGUGCUAAUACCGGAUACGUCAGCGUUGCUGGGAAAGCUCCGGCGCCCGAAGAUGAGUCCGCGUCCCAUUAGGUAGUUGGUGAGGUAAGGGCUCACCAAGCCGAAGAUGGGUAGCUGGUCUGAGAGGAUGACCAGCCACACUGGGACUGAGACACGGCCCAGACUCCUACGGGAGGCAGCAGUGGGGAACCUUGCGCAAUGGACGAAAGUCUGACGCAGCAACGCCGCGUGGGUGAUGAAGGCCUUCGGGUCGUAAAGCCCUGUCAGAAGGGAAGAUAAUGACGGUACCUUCAGAGGAAGCACCGGCUAACUCCGUGCCAGCAGCCGCGGUAAUACGGAGGGUGCAAACGUUGUUCGGAAUCAUUGGGCGUAAAGCGCGCGUAGGCGGCGCCGUAGGUCGGGUGUGAAAUCCCGGGGCUCAACCCCGGAACUGCGCUCGAAACCCCGGUGCUCGAGUCUCGGAGGGAGAAGUGGAAUUCCUGGUGUAGGGGUGAAAUCCGUAGAUAUCAGGAGGAACACCGGCGGCGAAGGCGACUUCUUGGCCGAAGACUGACGCUGAGGUGCGAAAGUGUGGGGAGCGAACAGGAUUAGAUACCUUGGUAGUUCACACCGUAAACGAUGCUCACUAGCUGGCGGGUGCAUGAACCCACGCGCUGGCGCAGUUAACGCGUUAAGUGAGCCGC